AAUAAAGCACAAAUGAUGGAGCAAAGGAAAUCUCUCAGAAGAUACACAUUUCUCUUCAAGAGAUUAUACCAUCUUUGCUGUAGCAGCCUUCUGGCUCAUUUGGAUGAAUAAAAACUUAUACRCAGAAAGAGACUUCUCCAGGCUGCCAAGUUGAACUGAUCCA